GCAUAUACGUUGCCUAUCUUUAAAGUUUCUUGAUUUCACUGUUAGAUUACACGAGAAAUAUUUAAACAUAUUUUACAAUUUUACAGACACCACCGAUAAAUUUAUCCAAGCUACCGAAAAUUGAUUUACCAAAGUUGCCUGAUAUCAAUAUUCCUGGGGUGAAUAUUAAUUUGAUUGCAUUUGAUUAUUUUCACGAUUAACCCUUAUGUUCAUUU